UACUCGGUAUCGGAUCGUAAAGGAAAUUGGUGGUAUCGAACAUCACUACUACCUGUCUCUACACUGUUGCUGGGAUUUUGUGCAUGAAGUAAAACCAUGGAGGCAGCCGUGUUGCCGGAAGUGUUGACAUCAUCAACGAGCAAACUCGAUUGGUCGAGCACGAUCACGUGUCGAACCGUGCCACCGCUCGCGCACUGAAAUGUUAUUGCGCCUUGAAGACGCUAGUUCUUUAUAAAAUGCAUCGAUAUAAAAACGGGCAGGAUAUUUUGCGACGAACUUUUUGCUGUAACUCGUUCUUUUUGUGAAGUUGAAUUCCAUUUCUAAAUGACUUUUUGUGGUUUUACUAGCUGAGAGGAGGAGCUUGAGACCUGUGUGCUGUGUGGAGGAGACUGCAUGUUUACAGAGCCUUAUGUGUUUUCUGUUGAUUUGUACAGACAAAUCCACCGUUCUACCUUCAUUAAAAGAACAAUCAACAGCUGGUCAUGGUUCAAGUCCUUCUUUCAUCCAGCGCAACACAGAACACAACGCAGGACUUACAAGGGUAAAUUGACUUGCAUCCAACUUUAUAUUAAACUGUUGAAGACAAUGGAUGCCUGUUACAAUGGUGCCGUGACCCAGAUAGUCAUUCAAUCCACGCAGAAGAUCGAAGCUUUUAGUGAGUUGUUUUAUGCUCCUGUUGUUGUCAAUCACACUGUGCAGCUUAAAGGCCUGUUGGACUCUGGCUCUAUGACAUGUUGCAUCAGUGAACAUGCAGUAGAGAAACUCAGUUCUGCUGGUGUUUUGCCUGAGAAGCAGCAUCCUGAAAGAAAUAUCAUUUUGAUGGGCUGUGGUGGUCUGCAGACUCAACCUGAGGGUUUUUAUAACUUGGAGAUGCAACUUUGCGGUGUUCGAUGUGUCGUACCUACCUUAGUUCUGCCUGGUCAGCGUGAUGAUCUCAUUUUGGGCUCAAAUAUCAUCAAACACGUGAUCCGUAUUCUGAAGAGUGAUAAUGAUUAUCGGAACAUGGCAUUCAGACCUGAGCAUCAGUCUGACCCCCAUAUUGAACAUUUCUUGUUAAUGUUCACCAACGUCGAGCGCUGGAGAGGAAGUGAGGUUCCUGAUAAA